rnacentral:ncRNA from 2 species
AUAAUCGGUAGGUAUUUGAACUGUAUUGUGCACCUAACACAAUGUUAAAGCACUAAAAAAGGAGAAA